GUGGAAAAGGAGGGAGCUACUCUCAGGCUGCGUCCAGCGACAGUGCCCAGGGCUCUGAUGUGUCUCUCACAGCUUGAAAAGCCUGAGACAGCUGUCUUGUGAGGGACCGAGAUGCAGGAUUUCUUCACGCCUCCCCUUUGUGACUUCAAGAGCCUCUGGCAUCUCUUUCUGCAAAGGCACCUGAAUGUGUCUGCGUCCCUGUUAGCAUAAUGUGAGGAGGUGGAGAGACAGCCCACCCUUGUGUCCACUGUGACCCCUGUUCCCAUGCUGAUCUGUGUUUCCUCCCCAGUCAUCUUUCUUGUUCCAGAGAGGUGGGGCUGGAUGUCUCCAUCUCUGUCUCAACUUUAUGUGCACUGAGCUGCAACUUCUUACUUCCCUACUGAAAAUAAGAAUCUGAAUAUAAAUUUGUUUUCUCAAAUAUUUGCUAUGAGAGGUUGAUGGAUUAAUUAAAUAAGUCAAUUCCUGGAAUUUGAAAGAGCAAAUAAAGACCUGAGAACCUUCCAGGUGGAAAAGGAGGGAGCUGCUCUCAGGCUGCGUCCAGCAACAGUGCCCAGGGCUCUGAUGAGUCUCUCAUCGCUUGUAAAGCCUGAGACAGCUGCCUGUGUGGGACUGAGAUGCAGGAUUUCUUCACACCUCUCCUUUGUGACUUCAAGAGCCUCUGGCAUCUCUUUCUGCAAAGGCAUCUGAAUGUGUCUGCGUUCCUGUUAGCAUAAUGUGAGGAGGUGGAGAGACAGCCCACCCCCGUGUCCACCGUGACCCCUGUCCCCACACUGACCUGUGUUCCCUCCCCGAUCAUCUUUCCUGUUCCAGAGAAGUGGGCUGGAUGUCUCCAUCUCUGUCUCAACUUCAUGGUGCGCUGAGCUGCAACUUCUUACUUCCCUAAUGAAGUUAGGAACCUGAAUAUAAAUUUGUUUUCUCAAAUAUUUGCUAUGAAGGGUUGAUGGAUUAAUUAAAUAAGUCAAUUCCUGGAAGUUGAGAGAGCAAAUAAAGACCUGAG
rnacentral:lncRNA from 1 species